UUGCCCUAGUAACGGCGAGUGAAGCGGCAACAGCUCAAAUUUGAAAUCUGGCUUCGGCCCGAGUUGUAAUUUGUAGAGGAAGCUUUAGGCGCGGCACCUUCUGAGUCCCCUGGAACGGGGCGCCAAAGAGGGUGAGAGCCCCGUAUAGUUGGAUGCCUAGCCUGUGUAAAGCUCCUUCGACGAGUCGAGUAGUUUGGGAAUGCUGCUCAAAAUGGGAGGUAAAUUUCUUCUAAAGCUAAAUACCGGCCAGAGACCGAUAGCGCACAAGUAGAGUGAUCGAAAGAUGAAAAGCACUUUGAAAAGAGGGUUAAAUAGCACGUGAAAUUGUUGAAAGGGAAGCGCUUGUGACCAGACUUGCGCCAGGCUGAUCAUCCGGUGUUCUCACCGGUGCACUCUGCCCGGCGCAGGCCAGCAUCGGUUCUCGCGGGGGGAUAAAGGCUCCGGGAACGUAGCUCCUCCGGGAGUGUUAUAGCCCGGGGCGUAAUGCCCUCGCGGGGACCGAGGACCGCGCAUCUUGCAAGGAUGCUGGCGUAAUGGUCACCAGCGACCCGUCUUGAAACACGGACCAAGGAGUCAAGGUUUUGCGCGAGUGUUUGGGUGUAAAACCCGCACGCGUAAUGAAAGUGAACGUAGGUGAGAGCUUCGGCGCAUCAUCGACCGAUCCUGAUGUAUUCGGAUGGAUUUGAGUAGGAGCGUUAAGCCUUGGACCCGAAAGAUGGUGAACUAUGCUUGGAUAGGGUGAAGCCAGAGGAAACUCUGGUGGAGGCUCGCAGCGGUUCUGACGUGCAAAUCGAUCGUCAAAUCUGAGCAUGGGGCGAAAGACUAAUCGAA
rnacentral:rRNA from 1 species